UACAAUUAUACGGGUACAACUGCGGGGUUAUUAAUAUAUACCGCGGGUUUAUUAAUUGUAAUAAUAAGUGAUUUGGGUAUUUUUUAGGAAUUUGAAAUAAUCCAAAUAUCUUAAGCAGAGCGAUUUUUUUUUUUUAUCAUGAACCAGUAAUUAUCCCGGAAGAUUUUAAGUAAAUUUGAUUUCUGCUAUUUUUUUAACCAUUUUCGAAUCUUUUAAGCUUUAUUUUAAC